UGAUUAACAACCUUCCUAGUUGAAAGCCAACAGGACCGUAUGCACUAAGGUAAACAAACGUAUUUUUUAAAUGUUUAUAAGAGUAAUUAUGAAAACAAAUCAAGUUAGACAUUCUGAAUGAUUUAUUUGUAAAUAUUGACCGGCCAAUAUGAAUACGUAUUUACUAUUAAAAAAAUCAGCUUUCGUUUUUGUUAUGUAAGCUAUGUGGUCUAUUGUUAUUGUGUGUAUUUGUGAUAUAAUUGAUUAAAGUACAUACUGCAUUCCUCGCGUUUUUUACAUUUGGUUAUGUGGGGUGCUUUUUAGCUUAUUUUAUGCUAUGGAUAUUUAAUUGACCAUUUUUGAAACUCACACGAUGACCCUCGUCAUUUGGUGGAUGGUCAGUGUCAAACAAAAAUUUAUGUUUGUAUUUUUAUUUUAAAUUAAUAAUGUCCUUGUUUUGGUCAGUGUUUAUUCAUCGACUUAAGCCGUGUUCACAUCGACCUAAACUCAGUGUUGUGUUAGUAUUAUUCACAUGUAAACUAAACACAAUUUCGUUCCCAUUGAUAAAACUCAAUGUUCAUAUCAAAUUUAAAUAAAUUGUUGUCAACAUUCAGUCGAUAGAUAUUGUAAGCCUUGUGUGGUUUAAGUGUACACAAAACUGGCUAUAUAGAACAUGAAUUUACCGUGUCUAUUUAAAGAAGAAACGAUUUUUUAAUUUAUUUGAUAUUUAUCGCUUCUGUGUGUGUUGAAUUGUUUUUUUUUUUUUGUUGUUGUUGCACUUUAGUGUUUCUUUGUUUUCCUUUUCUAUUUUAUGUAUUUCCCGAAAUGUUAGUUUAUGACCCGGAGUUGGUUUCUCUCAAUCGGUUUGUGACUUUCAAACACCGGUUUACUACUGUUGCCUUUAUUGAAUUAAAUUAUUUACAGUAUAAUUUGUCUUAACUUGAUAUAUUGCUUUUAUUAGAAAAUAAAACCAAAGAUAGCUAGCCUUAUUAACCCGUUAUCAAGACCCGAAGCAUAAUUGUUGCCAAACAUAAUUCAUUUGAAAAGGUCUUCCCUUAUAGACGUCAUUUAAAUGUUUGCCACUGGUCUUUACACAAUAAUUGAUUUACUUAUACAUUUUGUAAAUGCAUUAAUUAAAAGAGUGUGCGGUAAAUUGUUUUGUUUGGCUAGUAUCUCAUAUCCGGUAAAAUGUACUUAGAAUAAAAAAGCAUUUAUUUGCAAUGUACGAACUAUUAUUUUAAAGCCAAAGUCGUAGUAUUUAUUUUUUUCUGAAUCAAUUUUUUUUUCGCGCGAACCAUUUAUUCAGUGAAACACAACACUGAAUUACACGUUUGCGCGACAAAAAGUUUCGUCUCUAUCAAUCAUUUUUUUCUUCAGUAUUUGGGAGUUGAAUGGUGGUUUCAUUAAUUCUAGAAAAAUUGUCCAGAAAUUUGCGUUCGACUUUAUGUACUGAUAUUUAAAUGACGUAUAGUUUACAAGUGUAAGCAAAUCUAACGUACAGGUAAUCAACCCAGCUGUAUAGAUGUGAACAAGUUUAAUGUGAAACCAGUGUACAUUACAUUCAUUACAUUUAUCCAAUUACAAUAUAAAAAAGAAGAUGUUGUAUGAUUGCCAAUGAGACAACUAUCCACAAAAGACCAAAAUGACACAGACAUUAACAACUAUAGGUCACCAUACGGAAUUCAACAAUGAGCAAAGCCCAUACCGCAUAGUCAGCUAUAAAAGGCCCCGAUAAGACAAUGUAAAACAAUUCAAACGACAAAACUAACGGCCUUAUUUAUGUAAAAAAAAAUGAAAAACAAAUAUGUAACACAUAAACAAAAGACAACCACUGAAUUACAGGCUCCUGACUUGGGACAGGCACAUACAUAAAUAAUGUGGCCGGGUUUAACGUGUUAGUGGGAUCCCAACCCUCCCCCUAACCUGGGACAGUGGUAUAACUGUUAACAUGUUUACUGUACAUGGCGUUCGGUGUGAACACGGUCUUAUUCGGGUCACAGUAUUUGUGAUUAAAACUAAAACAAAAUUAUAAUCAGAAACAAAUAAUUACUGACGGAUUUAGGUAGGAACGUAGAGUGGGUAAAGGAAUAAUUUUUUAUGACAUUUUCGUCACCACUACAAACAAUUAUGGCCCCGGUCCCCCAUUUUUCUCGAGCCUUUAUCUUCCCCGACAGUGUAUUUACAUACAUGUUUAUUAACAAUAUGUACAUAUACAAUAUAUGUAUGUUGUCGGAAAAUAUACAAUUUAUUUGUAUGAGCUUUAAAAACAGGACGAAAAGCGAGGCUCUGUCGAGCUUUUGUCCUGAAUCGUAGCGAGUACAAAUGUAUUUUAUAUUUGCCGGCAAUGUACAUAUAUUGUUUUAACCUGAAAUUACUCCCAACACUUGAAUCUGUAGUUAUUAAAAUCAAAAUCAUUGUCUUUAAUGUUUCGAAGAAAUCGACAUCGUUGAAACGCUGAUGGCGAAGAGAACCCCAAAAUGAACUUGUUUGAAAACAGAAAUGUUCAUAUUGCCACUUGCUCAGCAUGUAAUUGGGGUCACAGGAGACUUUUAUUUGUACAAUUACUAAUAAAGCAAACAUUUAUUUGUAUACCUGUUAUUUGUACAUAAGAUGGCUAAUUGCAGGAAAAACAGCGGUAGUGUUGCCAGGGAGAAAACUAUUUGUAAAGGUGUACGGCUCAAAUAUAUUCAAUGAGGACAUAUGAGUUGAGAAGUUAUUUUUGUUUUCCGCAAAUUUUGGAAACCUUUUCAGAACAGUUAUAUGAAACACGUUUUACGCAGACUAAAAUCAUUUGCUAUCGAUCCUGGCCGACCGAAAUAUUAUUUAAAUAAUUAAUUUAUCAAAAGCAGAACUCCUUGUCGAAUUAAACUCCGAAUCUUGAAUAGCAAACAUGUUUUAAGAGGAAAUAAGAUACCACUAAAUUGUAAACGCCUUUGAUGUUAACAAUUCUCUUCUUGACUCUAGAGCUUGGCCCGAGUAAAAGUUCACCAGGACUAACACAUCAUAAACCUUAGAUCGAAAAUAGGGAGAAAAAUGUUGAGGACAUCAAACAACAAUUGUUUUAUGUCUUGAUUGGGAAAGAUGGACCGACUUGUAAGAGAAAUAAUUAUUAUUGAAGGUUCAACGAAAUUUUUUAGUGGUAACAAGUGGUAUAAAUCGUAUGAUCCUAAACCUUUGAACUCAUUGACGUGUAACUUGAUAAGGAUCGAGAUUAAUAUUACUAUAAACUUGUUUUGAGAUGAACUUGAAUAUUGAUAUAGCUAUUUUGAGUAUUUUAACAAAUUAGUCUGAAAACAAAAACGUUUACAGCCUUAUAACAAUGCAAAUAGGUAAGACAGAAUACAAAACUAUCAUUACCUAAUUAGUAUCAGCCUAAUGUCUAACAAACAACUGUUGCAUGGUUUUUGGUACAUGCAGGUUUGAAUUACUUUUUUAUUUUGGAACCCAAGGGCACAAAAUGUUACCGAUAAUUUGGGAACUUUUAAAAAGGUAAAACUUUAAACAGGUCAUUUUGUAGACCGAAAAAGGUCUUCUGAACAAGAUAUAUAUAGCCUUAAUUAUAUUUGCAUCAAUAAUAUUUUGCAGUUUUGUGAUAUGGCCUCAUCCUCCCAAAAUUGUGGUGUGUGUGACCUCCGACACAUCAACAAACCAUCCAUAAUCUGGUGUACGGAAUGUGAUGAAGGGCUUUGUCAAGAAUGUCAGGAUCACCAUAGUUUGUCCAAGGGAUCCAGAAACCAUAAUACCAUAGCAAUCACGGAAUACCAAACAUUACCUAGUGAUGUACUACAAAUCACUCAAUACUGUAACAUACACAAAGAAAAAUUUAUAUUCGAAACUCAUAAAGAAUGCCGGGAUAUCGACAAUUUAGAAGACGUCAUUCAAAAUGUAAAAACCUCGAAUGCCUUCUACGAUAUUGAAGAAACAUUGGUUGAAGUAGCAGAAAAUUUAAAAGAAAAUCUGUCAACAUCAGCAGAAAAGUCUGUUGAAUUUGAAAGAAAAAAGGAAACAAAUCGAAAAUGAAAUUGAAAAGACUCGAACAACAAUCAACAACCAUCUGGACAAAUUACAAGAAGAUUUGAUAAAACAACUUAAUGCUAUUGAGGAAACCCAAGACUCGAAAAUUUGUCAGUUGUUGUCUUCACUUGAACAGAGAGAAAAAGAAAUAACCAAGUACAGGGAAAACUUUGCUAGCAUUAAACAACACGCCUCAGAACUACAGAUUUUUCUUUCAUUAAAGCAACUAGAAGAAGACAUUGAUAUCGAAGAUAAAUUCCUACAAUCCGCAGUGAAAGGUGAGGAAUUGAAGCAAUGUCAUCUAGAAUAUAGAACCAACAUUGCUAUUCAGAAUAUCAUGUCCAAUAUCAAAAGUUUCGGAGAAGUACAGAUUAAAACUAAACCAUGUGACAUCGUUCUUAGCAGGAAGAAGACCAAACAAGCACAGAUAAUGGUACCAACCGUUCAAACAAGAUCCAUUGAGAACAUAAAACUGAAGAAAAACAAGACAAUAACAACUGAAGGUAACAACGUUUACGGGUGUUGCAUAAUUCCAGAUGGUAGAAUGGCGUUUACUUACUACUAUGCUCAUGCAGUUAGAGUAUUCAGUGAUACAGGAUUAAAAGACUUUGAGGUGAAGAUGCCAAAUUACGUACAAGAUAUACUGUAUAUAAGUAAGGACAAUACAUUAGCCGUAUCAUCUGGUGGUUCCAGUAAUAAUUGUAUUACCAUUAUAAACGUGGAAAGAAAACAAAUCACAAAAACAAUUUCAAUCAAUUCGCGUAUAGAUGGCAUAGCACUGAAAGAAAAUAAAUUAAUAUAUUCCGGUCAAAUCAAAGGAAUCCUAAUGAUCGAU
rnacentral:lncRNA from 1 species